UAAUACUGUGAUGCUGUAAUGAUGAUGCAAUGGUAGGAAUGAGUCAGCAGGGUUAUUUGACUGUUACCACUUUAAGAGUCUGUAUUAUAAGAGAGGCCUAUUGGGAUGUAUCUCUCUCUCCAUGUGUUCUUCUCUGCUGUAGCUGCUGAUUGGUGGUUUGACCUUUGCCUACUAUAUGUAUGCAUAU